CCUACGGGAGGCAGCAGUAGGGAAUCUUCCACAAUGGGCGCAAGCCUGAUGGAGCAACACCGCGUGAGUGAAGAAGGGUUUCGGCUCGUAAAGCUCUGUUGUUGGAGAAGAACGUGCGUGAGAGUAACUGUUCACGCAGUGACGGUAUCCAACCAGAAAGUCACGGCUAACUACGUGCCAGCAGCCGCGGUAAUACGUAGGUGGCAAGCGUUAUCCGGAUUUAUUGGGGGUAAAGCGAGCGCAGGCGGUUGCUUAGGUCUGAUGUGAAAGCCUUCGGCUUAACCGAAGAAGUGCAUCGGAAACCGGGCAACUUGAGUGCAGAAGAGGACAGUGGAACUCCAUGUGUAGCGGUGGAAUGCGUAGAUAUAUGGAAGAACACCAGUGGCGAAGGCGGCUGUCUGGUCUGCAACUGACGCUGAGGCUCGAAAGCAUGGGUAGCGAACAGGAUUAGAUACCCCAGUAGUC
rnacentral:rRNA from 1 species